rnacentral:rRNA from 1 species
CCUACGGGUGGCAGCAGUGAGGAAUAUUGGUCAAUGGACGAGAGUCUGAACCAGCCAAGUAGCGUGAAGGAUGACUGCCCUAUGGGUUGUAAACUUCUUUUAUAUGGGAAUAAAAUGUUCCACGUGUGGGAUUUUGUAUGUACCAUAUGAAUAAGGAUCGGCUAACUCCGUGCCAGCAGCCGCGGUAAUACGGAGGAUCCGAGCGUUAUCCGGAUUUAUUGGGUUUAAAGGGAGCGUAGGUGGAUUGUUAAGUCAGUUGUGAAAGUUUGCGGCUCAACCGUAAAAUUGCAGUUGAAACUGGCAGUCUUGAGUACAGUAGAGGUGGGCGGAAUUCGUGGUGUAGCGGUGAAAUGCUUAGAUAUCACGAAGAACCCCGAUUGCGAAGGCAGCCUGCCAAGCCAUGACUGACGCUGAUGCACGAAAGCGUGGGUAGCAAACAGGAUUAGAUACCCCGGUAGUC